UACGUAGGGUGCGAGCGUUAAUCGGAAUUACUGGGCGUAAAGCGUGCGCAGGCGGUUUGCUAAGACCGAUGUGAAAUCCCCCGGGCUUAACCUGGGAACUGCAUUGGUGACUGGCAGGCUAGAGUAUGGCAGAGGGGGGUAGAAUUCCACGUGUAGCAGUGAAAUGCGUAGAGAUGUGGAGGAAUACCGAUGGCGAAGGCAGCCCCCCUGGGGCCCAAUACUGACGCUCAUGCACGAA
rnacentral:rRNA from 1 species